CAAGUAUCAAGAAGGCUGAUGAUAGUACGGUGAACUUAGUAAACAACAUGGUUGUGUUUUUCAGCUGGGUUUCUGCUUUGACAGUUAUUCUUUCCUUGGACUGUCUAAGCACAAAAGUUAAUGGAACUGGAUUGGACAGUGAAGACGAUCCAGAAGUCAGGUAUGCAGUACUUGGAGCUGGAAUCGGUGCCUUCUUUGCCUUAUGUUUUCUUGCAAUAAAGCUCUACAUGAUUAAAAAACAUAUGCUUGAAAAUGAGCUUUCAGAUACUGGAACUGGUAAAUGACUGUCUUUAAGGCGUGAAAGAAGUCAUCGUCUGAAGUGACAAGAGGACAUGUUGUGCAAGAAAGUGUGAAACCAUACUGGAUUGAUGAAAAGAGCUUUGCUGAAAAUGUAGUUUCUUAUUUUAGCUUAAUGAGAAACUGAACCCUGUGCAACAAUCCAUUUUGUAUAAAAAAAACAAACGGACUUUUCUGAAAUGACUCAACUUUUAUUUACAUAUAUAAUUGAUCAUUUUUAAACUAUUUGUAAAUAUUAUGCUUUUUUAGCAGUUUUGACUGUUAAACCUCUUGUGUUUUAAAUACACUAAACUAGCUUUGUGCAAAUAAACUGUUAAGUUUCAGAGAAGUAACCCAUGUUAUGGAUACCCAUAAGAAUCAUAGGCUCAUUUUCAUUGAGUUCAGGGAUAGAUUCAGGGAGUGAGUUUAGAGAAUGUGUUUAACCUUCCCACAGAGCUACACAGUCCCACAGAGGUAUGUUUCUUUUUUUUAAACUGUUGAAAAGCACUGAUAAUGGAUCAAUAGGACCCUUUCCUGGUGUCGUUAACGGGAAUUAGUAUAUCUCUCAGUGAACACAGUGCAAUAUAAGAAAGAAGAACGAGCCAGGCUCCCCUCCCAUCAAAAUGCCCCUGUAGCUUGCUUAAUGUGUUAAUGUAUUCUAAAGAUUAUAUGCAAUAACUAUAGCUCAAACAGAAAGGGGUUUGCAUUGUUUUUUGUUUUAGAUGCUCUACAGAAGACCUGAAGAAUUUGGACAAUAUUACAAUAUAGCAAUAAGAUUUUCAACCAUGUCUUAAAAAUAAAUUAACUAAUAUUGUAGCCUGAUGCGUAUAAAACAAUUAGCACAGUAUGUCUUCUAUGUAUCAAAAAGCAAUUAUAAUCUUGUCUUCUCUUUUAAAUAUAUCACUCAAUUCCCAUUUUAAACAAUUAUGUAUUAUUGAAUGUUACAAUUGGCUGACAACUAUAUUGGUUAAUCUCUUUCAAUUAAUCAGCACAAUUGAAAGUUGCCUGCAGAACUCGAAUGUUGUUUACUGCAGGGUUUGAGAGAUCAAUGGAUCUGCUUGUCAAAUGCAAACAUUGACAGCAUAAUUAGUAAAUAUCAGUGUGGUAUAAAUUAAGCAGAGGUGUUGUUUUGCUGUAUCUUGUGAAGCAUCAAUGCAUGGCAAGAGCUUACAAGGUUUGCCCAGUAAUAGGGGUGUCCUCUUGGGCAAAAAGUUUCAAGUCAAGCACAGCACUCCCUUGUUAAUUCACAAUUCAAUAAUUGACAAAUGUGGUUAAUUCAGUCCCCCUUCAAUGUGAAGAUGACCAACUGAAGUAACUUACAAAAAAAUAGAUGGUGAGUAAGUAGAUUCAAGAAAAUGCACAGAGU